rnacentral:lncRNA from 1 species
CUAUUCACUUUAGAGUGCGCUUCUUUAAGAAAGCGCCCUCUAAGGUGCGCUGUCUAUUCCAGUUUUUGGCGUAGUGAAGUGAUUUCUGAUAUAGGUUGAUCUUUUGAUGGUUACACAUCUCUAACUCUCUCAUUUUGUCACUCUAUUCAUCUGUGUUUCCUCUUAUUUUAAAUUUUAUUCUUGCAUCACCAAUGAUUAUGAUAGGGUUUUUCGUAUUGUUUUGAUGAGAUUGAGAUGUUUGUUAGGAUUAUGAGGAUCCCACAAUAAUAAAGGUGGUGCUAAUGUAACACUGGAAACAUGAUUGAGUUGGUUUCCUUUAUAACAUACGGUCUCAUUUUCAUUUUCUUGUAAUUAUUCUAUUUUCUUUUUUUCUUUUUCAUUUUCUUGUAAUUAUUCUUUUUUCUUUUUUUCUUUUUCAUUUUCUACUUAUAAUUAGUAUUUUAGCAUAUUUUUUAAUCUACAUAACUUAUGUUAAUUGUUUAAUUAUCAGAAUAUAGAAGAUGACAUUUUAUGUUCUUUAGGAUAUAAGUAUAUAUUUAAUAAAUUUUGAUGUUCAAUACAUAUCUUUCUAAACUAAUUAAUGUCAAGGUUUGUUACUCAUUACAUGUUUGAUUGAUUUAUAUAAUUGAGGUUGUACUUAAUAUAAAUAUUUACUUUACAAUACUUAAUAGAAAACUCUGGUUCAUAAUCACUUUAUGAUUGUAUAAACAAAAUAAAAAGGGUAAAAAAAUACGUACUGCUGAAAAAUUGUCAUAUUUUCCUUUUUUUUCUAUCUUUUAUGAGUAAUUUUCUUUCUUAUCUAUCAAAUGUACAAAUCAAGUGAUUUCUGAUAUAGGUUGAUCUUUUGAUGGUUACACAUCUCUAACUCUCUCAUUUUGUCACUCUAUUCAUCUGUGUUUCUUCUUAUUUUCAAUUUUAUUCUUGCGUCACCAAUGAUUAUGAUAGGGUUUUCGUAUUAUUUUGAUGAGAUUGAGAUGGUUGUUAGGAUUAUAAGGAUCUCAAAAUAAUAAAGAUGGUGCUAAUGUAACACUGGAAAAAUGAUUGAGUUGGUUUCCUUUAUAACAUACGGUCUCAUUUUCAUUUUCUUGUAAUUAUUCUAUUUUCUUUUUUUCUUUUUCAUUUUCUUGUAAUUAUUCUUUUUUCUUUUUUCCUUUUUCAUUUUUUACAUAUAAUUAGUAUUUGCAUAUUUUUUAAUCCAUAUAACUUAUUAUAAUUGUUUAAUUAUCAGAAUAUAGAAGAUGACAUGUUAUGUUCUUAAGGAUAUAAUUAUAUAUUUAAUUAAUUUUGAUGUUCAAUACAUAUCUUUCUAAACUAAUUAAUGUCAAGGUUUUUAACUCAUUACAUGUUUGAUUGAUUUAUAUAAUCGAGGAUGUACUUAAUAGAAAUAUUUAACUUACAUUAUUUAAUAGAAAUCUCUGGUUCAUAAUCACUUUAUGAUUGUAUAAACAAAAUACAAAUGGUAAAUAAAUAUGUACUGCUGAAAAAUUGUCAUGUUCUCCUUUUUUUCUAUCUUUUAUGAGUAGUUUUCUUUCUUAUCUAUCAAAUGUACAAAUCAAGUGAUUUCUGAUAUAGGUUGAUCUUUUGAUAGUUACACAUCUCUAACUCUCUCAUUUUGUCACUCUAUUCAUCUGUGUUUUUUCUUAUUUUCAAUUUUAUUCUUGCGUCACCAAUGAUUAUGAUAGGGUUUUUAUAUUAUUUUGAUGAGAUUGAGAUGGUUGUUAGGAUUAUAAGGUUCUCAAAAUAAUAAAGAUGGUGCUAAUGUAACACUGGAAAAAUGAUUGAGUUGGUUUCCUUUAUAACAUACUGUCACAUUUUCAUUUUCUUGUAAUUAUUCUAUUUUCAUUUUUUCUUUUUCAUUUUCUUGUAAUUAUUCUUUUUUCUUUUUUUCCUUUUCAUUUUCUACUUAUAAUUAGUAUUUUAGCAUAUUUUUUAAUCUACAUAACUUAUGUUAAUUGUUUAAUUAUCAGAAUAUAGAAGAUGACAUUUUAUGUUCUUUAGAAUAUAAGUUUAUAUUUAAUAAAUUUUGAUGUUCAAUACAUAUCAUUCUAAACUAAUUAAUGUCAAGGUUUGUUACUCAUUACAUGUUUGAUUGAUUUAUAUAAUCGAGGAUGUACUUAAUAGAAAUAUUUAGCUUACAUUAUUUAAUAGAAAUCUCUGGUUCAUAAUCACUUUAUGAUUGUAUAAACAAAAUACAAAUGGUAAAUAAAUAUGUACUACUGAAAAAUUGUCAUGUUCUCCUUUUUUUCUAUCUUUUAUGAGUAGUUUUCUUUCUUAUCUAUCAAAUGUACAAAUCAAGUGAUUUCUGAUAUAGGUUGAUCUUUUGAUAGUUACACAUCUCUAACUCUCUCAUUUUGUCAAUCUAUUCAUCUGUGUUUCUUCUUAUUUUCAAUUUUAUUCUUGCGUCACCCAUGAUUAUGUUAGGGUUUUCGUAUUAUUUUGAUGAGAUUUAGAUGGUUGUUAGGAUUAUAAGGAUCUCGAAAUAAUAAAGAUGGUGCUAAUGUAACACUGGAAAAAUGAUUGAGUUGGUUUCCUUUAUAACAUACGGUCACAUUUUCAUUUUCUUGUAAUUAUUCUAUUUUCAUUUUUUCUUUUUCAUUUUCUUGUAAUUAUUCUUUUUUCUUUUUUUCUUUUUCAUUUUCUACUUAUAAUUAGUAUUUUAGCAUAUUUUUUAAUCUACAUAACUUAUGUUAAUUGUUUAAUUAUCAGAAUAUAGAAGAUGACAUUUUAUGUUCUUUAGGAUAUAAGUAUAUAUUUAAUAAAUUUUGAUGUUCAAUACAUAUCUUUCUAAACUAAUUAAUGUCAAGGUUUGUUACUCAUUACAUGUUUGAUUGAUUUAUAUAAUUGAGGUUGUACUUAAUAUAAAUAUUUACUUUACAAUACUUAAUAGAAAACUCUGGUUCAUAAUCACUUUAUGAUUGUAUAAACAAAAUAAAAAGGGUAAAAAAAUACGUACUGCUGAAAAAUUGUCAUAUUUUCCUUUUUUUUCUAUCUUUUAUGAGUAAUUUUCUUUCUUAUCUAUCAAAUGUACAAAUCAAGUGAUUUCUGAUAUAGGUUGAUCUUUUGAUGGUUACACAUCUCUAACUCUCUCAUUUUGUCAAUCCAUUCAUCUGUGUUUCCUCUUAUUUUAAAUUUUAUUCUUGCAUCACCAAUGAUUAUGAUAGGGUUUUUCGUAUUGUUUUGAUGAGAUUGAGAUGUUUGUUAGGAUUAUGAGGAUCUCACAAUAAUAAAGGUGGUGCUAAUGUAACACUGGAAACAUGAUUGAGUUGGUUUCCUUUAUAACAUACGGUCUCAUUUUCAUUUUCUUGUAAUUAUUCUAUUUUCUUUUUUUCUUUUUCAUUUUCUUGUAAUUAUUCUUUUUUCUUUAUUCCUUUUUCAUUUUUUACAUAUAAUUAGUAUUUUUGCAUAUUUUAAUCCAUAUAACUUAUGUUAAUUGUUUAAUUAUCAGAAUAUAGAAGAU